rnacentral:rRNA from 1 species
UUCCUACGGGGGGCAGCAGUGGGGAAUAUUGCACAAUGGGGGGAACCCUGAUGCAGCAAUGCCGCGUGGGUGAAGAAGCACUCCGGUGCGUAAAGCCCUGUCAGCAGGGAAGAAAAUGACAGUACCUGACCAAGAAGCCCCGGCUAACUACGUGCCAGCAGCCGCGGUAAUACGUAGGGGGCAAGCGUUAUCCGGAUUUACUGGGUGUAAAGGGUGCGUAGGCGGCCUGCUAAGUCUGGAGUGAAAGGUACCGGCUCAACCGGUACAGGCUCUGGAAACUGGCGGGCUAGAGAGCAGGAGAGGGG